rnacentral:rRNA from 1 species
CCUACGGGUGGCAGCAGUGAGGAAUAUUGGUCAAUGGGAGAGAUCCUGAACCAGCCAAGCCGCGUGAGGGAAGACGGCCCUAUGGGUUGUAAACCUCUUUUGUCGGAGAACAAAACCCGGGACGAGUACCGGACUGCGUGUAUCCGAAGAAAACGCAUCGGCUAACUCCGUGCCAGCAGCCGCGGUAAUACGGGGGAUGCGAGAGUUAUCCGGAUUUAUUGGGUUUAAAGGGUGCGUGGGCGGUCUGGUAAGUCAGCGGUAAAAUUGCGGGGCUCAACCCCGGCGAGCCGUUGAAACUGGCAGACUGGAGUUGGCGAGAGGGAAGCGGAAUGCGCGGUGUAGCGGUGAAAUGCAUAGAGAUCGAGAAGAACUCUGGUUGCGAAGGCAGCGUACCGGCGCCAGACUGACGCUGAGGCACGAAAGCGUGGGGAGCGAACAGGAUUAGAUACCCCAGUAGUC